ensembl:lncRNA
UGCCUCAUCAAAAUUUAUUAAGUUGUACAUAUACAGUAUAUUAUCAGAACAACACCAAAGUGGCUACACUUGACAGAUUCUCCUAAAGUGGACACAAUUUUCCUAGAGAUUAUUAUUCCCCUUGAUAAAAGUUGUAAUGAUUGUGAAAGUUUUGAAAGAUAAGCUUGAAGGGCCACAGCGCUCACUAUCAGGGCAAGGAGCUAUAGAUGCCAUGCACACAGGGCCCGGGAGGCAGUGGAGUUGUGGGAGGGUGUGGCAGCCCCGUUUCUGCUGUGAGCAAACAGUGUUAUGAGGAGACCAACACAAAGAGGAAGGUGCUUCCUCUCCAGGGCCAGGGUCUUUGGGUUAACGUUCAGGAAACACAAGACACCACACCCAAGAGAAGUAAGGAAAACAAAACUCCCUACAGGGUCUAGGCUCCCUCCAAGAGACAGGGCCAGUGUGGUCAAAAGAGGGGACGAAUGGAGAUGCGGAAGUUUCCACUUCCCUUCAAGCUUGCUCAAGGCACCAGACUAGCUCCCCUAAGUACCAAGAGCAAGAACAAAACACCCUAGAGAAAAGGGCAGAGCUGGCACUUGGUUUGUCCUCACUAACAGGGAAGUGUUAUCGGCGGUUCUAAUUCAACCCGGUGAAAUCCACCCCAGAGGGGUCCCAAAUUGCUUGUGAGGCUGAUGAGUUGAGGACACUGCCCUCCCUCUUCUACCCACUCUGGCUCCUACAAAGACAGGGAAGGAGGAAGUGAAGAGCUCAUCUGGGCCAGAUGUUGCCUUGGCACUCUACAAUGACUAUUUCUCCCUGUUCUGUUCCUCCUCUGUGUCCAAAAUUAAGAGAGAACCACAGUUGUACAAACAGACUGAAAAGGAGACUGGCCAUACCUGAGUUCUGGAGUCUUCCUCGGAAGGAAACCAUCUUUGUCAGAUUCUUGCCAACCUUUCGGGCAGAAUCACCUUUCCAAAUCAGGUCUUUUCAGUUUGAUGUUUCCAAAGAACCCAGCUUACACUAACUCUCCAUUUAAAAAAUACCUUUUAAUUCCAAAAGUUUGCAGAAGAUGAUUUUUUCAAUACACUUGACUCAUACUGGUUGUUACAUAGCACCCUUCAUGCGAGAUCAUAGGGAAGAGAAAAAAACUACAGCGCUAGAGGCAUCUCUCAGGCAUCUCCCCCUGUAAGCUUCUCUCUCAUUUGUUGAGAAAACACAAUUUAAGGUGAAACACAUAGUGAAGACUUUUCAGUGUUUUCCAACCACCACUGACCCUGACCGGAGGGGGCAGGUGGAUCUCUCUGAGGCGUUGGUGGUGCCAAGGGAAAAUCAGAAUUAUCAAGGAUGAAAUAUCUCCCUUAAUCCUGGCCACAUCUAUUGUCAUGUCUACCAUAGGUGUGGAAUCGUCAUCCCUCACCUACAUCCCAAUGAAAGGGAUGAAGGGUAUCAGGAGAAACAGUUGAGUCAUAUGACUCGGGCUUCCAGAGAAAUGGUGUAAGAUGCCAAAUCCUUAUCUUCUCAAUAGAAAAUGUUUUACAUGUUUAAGUUAAUCAAACAGGCAUUUUCUCUGGGGCCACCCUGCUCCAUCAUGAUCUUGGAAUUCCCUUAGAGUGUUCCUGUUUCCUGGGAGCUCUGAAAGUCUUCUCUCCGUGUGUUCUCUGCGGAGCCCAGGGAAGCGAGGCAUCCCCAGAAAGUGUACACGGAAUACCCGCCUCAAGACCCAUUCGAAACUGCCCAGCUCUUGUCCCCACAGAGAAUAAUGUGGACUUCACUAAGGACACGGACCACUGAGAUGGAUAUGUAUACUCCCUCAAUAAAGAGGACACUGGAUUUUAUGUAGAUUUCCCUAUCAUUCAAAAGCAUCCGGCCCAUAUUGCAGGAAUCAACUCAUAC